UCACUUUCAACAACGGAUCUCUUGGCUCUCGCAUCGAUGAAGAACGUAGCGAAGUGCGAUAAGUAGUGUGAAUUGCAGAAUUCCGUGAAUCAUCGAAUCUUUGAACGCAAAUUGUACUCCCUGGUAUUCCGGGGAGUAUGCCUGUUUGAGGGUCUUUA
rnacentral:rRNA from 1 species